rnacentral:rRNA from 1 species
AUUGAACGCUGGCGGCAUGCCUAACACAUGCAAGUCGAACGGGAGGCGGACUGGUGAGUAAUGUCUGAGCAACUGCCUAAUGGAGGGGGAUAACUAGUGGAAACGGUGGCUACUAACGCUUACCAUCCGAUGUGCCCUCAGUGGAUUAGCUAGUAGGUGGGGUAAAGGCUCACCUAGGCGAAGAUCCCGAGCUGGUCUGAGAGGAUGACCAGCAAAACGGGAACUGUGACACGGUCCAGACUCCUACGGGAGGCAGCAGUGGGGAAUAUUGCACAAUGGGCGAAAGCCUGAUGCAGCCAUGCCGCGUGUAUGAAGAAGGCCUUCGGGUUGUAAAGUACUUUCAGCGGGGAGGCGUUACCCGCAGAAGAAGCACCGGCUAACUCCGUGCCAGCAGCCGCGGUAAUAC